rnacentral:rRNA from 1 species
UACGUAGGGUGCUAGCGUUGUCCGGAUUUAUUGGGCGUAAAGGGCUCGUAGGCGGCGUGUCGCGUCGGGAGUGAAAGCUCGGCGCUCAACGCCGAGUCGGCCGUCGAUACUCCCGUGCUUGAGCACUGUAGAGGCAGGUGGAAUUCCGGGUGUAGCGGUGGAAUGCGUAGAGAUCCGGAAGAACACCGGUGGCGAAGGCGGCCUGCUGGGCAGUAGCUGACGCUGAGGCGCGACAGCGUGGGGAGCAAACAGG